AACGAACGCUGGCGGCAUGCCUAACACAUGCAAGUCGAACGAGACCUUCGGGUCUAGUGGCGCACGGGUGCGUAACGCGUGGGAACCUGCCCUUAGGUUCGGAAUAACUCCCCGAAAGGGGUGCUAAUACCGGAUAAUGUCUUCGGACCAAAGAUUUAUCGCCUUUGGAUGGACCCGCGUUGGAUUAGCUAGUUGUUAGGGUAAAAGCCUACCAAGGCGACGAUCCAUAGCUGGUUUGAGAGGAUGAUCAGCCACACUGUGACUGAGACACGGCCCAGACUCCUACGGGAAGCAGCAGUGGGGAAUAUUAGACAAUGGGCGAAAGCCUGAUCCAGCAAUGCCGCGUGAGUGAUGAAGGCCUUAGGGUUGUAAAGCUCUUUUACCCGGGAUGAUAAUGACAGUACCGAGAGAAUAAGCCCCGGCUAACUCCGUG
rnacentral:rRNA from 1 species